rnacentral:rRNA from 1 species
AGUGAACGCUGGCGGCGUGCUUAACACAUGCAAGUCGAACGAGAACGGAAUAUAGCUUGCUAUAUUUGUCAGCUAAGUGGCGCACGGGUGAGUAAUGUAUAGAUAACCUGCCCUUAAGAAAGGAAUAACAGUUGGAAACGACUGCUAAUGCCCUAUAUGCCUUUAAUACAUAAGUAUGCAAGGGAAACGCUUUAGUGCUUAAGGAUGGGUCUGUAUGGUAUCAGCUUGUUGGUGAGGUAAUGGCUCACCAAGGCUAUGACGCCUAACUGGUUUGAAAGGAUGAUCAGUCACACUGGAACUGAGACACGGUCCAGACUCCUACGGGAGGCAGCAGUGAGGAAUAUUGCACAAUGGACGAAAGUCUGAUGCAGCAACGCCGCGUGGAGGAUGACACAUUUCGUUGCGUAAACUCCUUUUAUAUAGGAAGAUAAUGACGGUACUAUAUGAAUAAGCACCGGCUAACUCCGUGCCAGCAGCCGCCGUAA